GAAUUUUGGACAAUGGGGGCAACCCUGAUCCAGCCAUCCCGCGUGUGCGAUGACGGCCUUCGGGUUGUAAAGCACUUUUGGCUGGGAAGAAAAGGCUCUGCUUAAUACCAGGAGCUGCUGACGGUACCAGCAGAAUAAUCACCGGCAAACUACGUGCCAGCCGCCGCGGUAAUACGUAGGGUGCAAGCGUUAAUCGGAAUUACUUGGCGUAAAGCGUGCGCAGGCGGUUCGACAAGAAGGAUGUGAAAUCCCAGGGCUUAACCUUGGAACUGCAUUCUUAACUGCCGGGCUAGAGUAUGUCAGAGGGGGGUAGAAUUCCGCGUGUAGCAGUGAAAUGCGUAGAGAUGCGGAGGAAUACCGAUGGCGAAGGCAGCCCCCUGGGAUAAUACUGACGCUCAUGCACGAAAGCGUGGGGAGCAAAC
rnacentral:rRNA from 1 species